CCGGCCGGGGCAGUGCGGGAGCGCGCGGCCGACGCCCCCCGGGCUGCAGGGACCCGCCAUUGUCCGGGGGCAGCGGCGGCCCCGAAUCCGAUUUACGGGACGAGAAGGCAUGCAAAGCGAUGCGGUAACUCCCACACAGAGAUGAAGGAAAAUAGAAAAAUAACUCCCUCCAAGCCUCCACUCCAAAACCCAGCCCCCUGCUCCUCCAGGCAGAUCACCUCUCAGCCUGUCUGGAAUACUGGUUGCAGCGCAGCUGAAAGAGCCUGCUCCGUCUUGGGUGGAUUCCUAAGAGUUGAAUUGCUGUGU